AGAAAUUAGUUUAAUAUGUAUGGGAUUUUAAUAUUUGUUGCUCAGAGAAAAACUCCAACAGUAGAAGUGAACGUGAGAACUGAGAAGUGAGGAAUGUUUGGUAUUUGACCUGUAUAAUAUAGAAAAUCAGGCUUGCAAUUCCUCUAAGCCAUUGGAAAAAUCAAAGCAGCAAUAUAAAAAUGGGUUUCACACAAAACCAGGGUUCACCCUCUGUUAGUAAAGAAGAUGACGAUGCAUGUCUCUAUGCCAUGCUACUGUCAAGCUCUCACGUAUUUCCCAUGGUACUACGCACCGCCAUAGAGCUCAACCUGUUUGAGAUCAUUGCUCGGGCAAGCCCCGAUGCUUACAUGUCGCCCUCUGAGAUUGCUUCUCAGCUUCCCACACAAAACCCUGAUGCUCCUUAUAUGCUAGAUCGCAUGCUGCGUUUACUUGCUAGCUACUCACUUCUUACUUGUUCUAUACGCAGCUGCGAAAAUGGAAGUGUUGAGAGACUCUAUCGGGUCUCACAAGCUGGCAAGUUAUAUGUUCAAAAUGAAGAUGGAGGAUUUGUGGGUUCGAUCUCAUUAUUUGCUUUCCAACGUGCCAUACUUGAGGUUUGGCUACAUUUUAAAGAUGCUAUUCUUGGAGGAGGUAAUCUAUUUGGAAAGGUCCACGGGAUGUCCAUCUUCCAAUACAUGAAAACUGAUCAAACAUUGAACAAUUCUUUUAACAAGGCAAUGGCUGAUACUUCCAGAAUACACAUGAAAAAAAUUCUUGAGAUAUACGAAGGUUUUGAGGGGUAUCAUUGUUGGUUGAUGUUGGUGGUGGCACUGGAGCAUGCCUUAACAUGAUCAUUUCCAAGUACUCUUCCAUUAAAGGCAUCAACUUUGAUUUGCCUCAAGUUAUACAACACGCGCCAUCUUAUCCUGGUAUUGAGCAUGUUGGAGGGGACAUGUAUGUAAGUGUUCCGAAAGGUGACGCCAUUAUGAUAAAGACUACAUGCCAUAACUGGAAUGAUGAUCAAUGCAUAAAACUCUUGAAGAACUGCAAUAAAGCACCGGCACAAAAUGGGAAGGUGAUUAUCAUGGACUUAAUAAUGCCAGAGGUACCUGACGCAAGCAAUGGGGCUAAGUUUGUUUCUAUGCUUGAUAGUGCCAUGGUUAUUCCACCAGGAGGGAAGGAAAGAACUGAGAAAGAGUUUGAGGCCUUAAGCAAGGCUUCUGGAUUUUCGGAUUUUCAAGUUAUAUGCCGUGCUUGUACUGUCUGGGGAGUCAUGGAACUUUACAAAUAAGUCUCCAACUAUCUGGUUUGAGCUCGUCUUGUUCUAGUUUCCUUGCCAGUCAAACUGGACAAGUCAUGGCACUUUAUAUUGAGGCUGUAAACUAUUGGCUUGUAUGCAACUUUUUUUAAUAAUGCUUUCAUUAAUAUUGCAUGAGUUUUAUGAAUAAAAUAAAAUUUGAAUGAAUAAAAUUUGAAGUUAAGAAGA